GCCGAAAUAGCUCAGAAGGGAGAGCGUUAGACUGAAGAUUUAAAGGUCCCUGCUUCGAUCCCGGGUUUCCGCA
rnacentral:tRNA from 1 species